AGCCGCGCCGGAGCCUGGGAGUUGUAGUUCGCUACCUCAGGGGUCCGCCCGGUGGCAGAGACCCCCCCCCGGUGUCGUUCACCCGCCCACCGUCGUCGUCCACCCUUGGCAGGCUCCGGGUCACGGCCGAAAGUGCCGCGGGGAGGAGUGGAAGAAGGGCUCGGGGCUGUGUGGUGCCCUGGUAUGGUUCAGCUGGGCACCUGUGUGGUGCAUCAGAAAUAUGUACCAGGGUGAACAGAGAAACUGGAACAGCCACGCUUGAUCGUGAAUUUGCCUCACUGUGUCAUGGAAGAUGCCCAAGGAAAAUGCUUCAAGAAGAUCAUCAGUAUGCAGCAAAUCUCAAGAAACAAGCUUAAGAAACUCAAUUGAUGCUGUGGACAAAUGUCUUUGAGCAGAUGCUCCAAGGUAUUCUGAUCACUUACGUUGAAGGACUCUAAAAAAAGAACAUUGCUUUUCCUUCAAAAGUUGAUAGCUACUCUUUGCUAGAGGUCACCACAAAAAGAGCAAAGAACAUCAGAGACUUAAAGAAUAACAUCACCUUCUUCCCUGGGUCAGAGCUAACAUUCAGAGUACUUCACACCAAAGGAUCUUUGAAGCUUUAUCUGAAGAACUAUGAGAAGAAAAUUGUUCUUUUCUUAGACGUUGGCAUAGCCUGAAAUUCACCCACACAGGUCCAAAUUCAAUACAGAGAAAAGAGCUACCCAACUACAUCACUGCAAUAAUAUCUCAUAGUAUAACAGCUGUGCUAAUAAGCCUUAAUGGCCCUGACCAGCUUCACCUGAUGCCUCUCCCCACAUCUGUGGGCUUAAGAGCUCUAUUUAAACUCAGCCCAGAGAUACGGCUGCUUGGCUCACUUAUGGAGGAGUGCUGUUUUCUAGCUCAGUCAUAGUCUUUGGUGCCUAUAGAGCUGUUGGAUUCUGGUUUCGAUUUAGAGGUUUCAAUUUGGAGGUUGGCUUCUUAGCUUGUUGUUAGUUAUGCCAUGUUACUGUAAACCUACCUUGAAAUCACUAGACCUAGUUUUAAUGUCAGCCUGCAGGUUGGUUUCCUAAUUUGCCCUUUUAUGUGUCUCAUCACGAUGCUGUGUUCUUUAACUGGGACUCUUUGUUGAGCCUGGCUGUUGUGUUCAUCUGUCCUGCUUGUCCCCCCCCUUUGAGUGUUGUAGGACUGGGCACUAGUAGGCAAGGCCCUUGCCCUGUCACCUACGUGUUUCAUCCCCUGGUUCCUGUUCCUUUGGGGAACAGCCUUGUUCUUGCUGCCCCCUGGCAUCAACAUUUACUGCUUAGAUAGUGCUCAUAGGGACUUGACUUUGCUCCCUUCCUUGCACCCACUCCUAUGAAUCCACACCUGCUUUUAAUGCUUCCAUUAAAGCAACUAUAUGUGAUUGUAACAACUGACGUUUCUGUUAACAAUAAAAACAUCAAACUGCAAAUACAGUGUUUCACUCCCUGCUUAGUGUUCGAAGCAGUUAUUUUGUUCUCAGUGAUCCCACUCCAGCACAGAAAUAAUCAUUCUGUAUUAUACCACUAGAAGAAAAAUCUAAAGAUAAUUUAAUGCAUUUGUUUUGCAAAAGGUUUGUGACAGA